rnacentral:lncRNA from 1 species
AUUGCUUGAGCUUGUCUUUCCUUUUUAUUGUUUUGCAUUGUUUCAAGAGGCUAACUUUGUGUUAGACCUCUAACAUGCUUAGCACAUACAUUGUUAUUGACCAACCUCAGAUAGGUUGACUUCUACAUAAGUCCACUUAUGAUUGCUUAACAUAGCGCUAAAGUGUCCCGACUCGAUUAAAUCUUUCCAUUGAUCAUUAACGACUAACAUUUGAAAUUUGAUGUUUAACUUUUAUCUUCUUUUAUCUUAAUUUAUGAUUGCUUGGGUUAU